UUAAUGGUGCUUUUCAAAGCUAAGAGGGAAUCAGGUUAAAUGCCUGUACUGUACCCGCAACUGUAAUUAGGGAGCGAGAAAUCUAAAGGCCGCUGUUUUAACAGUAAGGCGAUUUCAAGUGAAGAUCUAUAAGUCAGGAAACCUGCCAUUAU
rnacentral:ncRNA from 1 species